rnacentral:lncRNA from 1 species
GAAAAAGGGUACCCAUCUCUUGAAAGUGGUUUAUUGAGACUCAUUGAGGUAAAUGCACAACUCUAAUCCUAGUAUGAAUUCAUAGAAAAAUGUAGUUUUGAGUAAAAAUCUUAUUUCGUGUUUAGAGUAUAUUUAAAUGAUGCUGAUAGUUUUCUAGAGGUAGUUAAACUUUAGAAUAAAUUUCUCUAAAGUUUUGGAAAUAUUUUUAUACUCAGAUUUGUCAACUGAGACCUUGCCGGCUACUCUGAGAGUUGUUGGAGAGCAAACUUAGACGAUUCUCCAUAACAGUGAGUUGACGACGAUCAUCGUCAUUUAUUUUUAUAUAAUGUUAUUAUUAUUAUUUUACUUGGUUUCUAUAUUAAAGUAUUUAUUGAAAAAUUUGAGAAACACAAUCUUUGAAUUUUAUCUCAAUUUCGUCAAUUAUUUAAUUUAACUGUCGUUGUUAUAUAAUAUGUUAUUAUUUUGAUUUAGUAUGAGUUAAAGUAUUUAAAGCUUGAAUUGUUAUGCGAUUGAAUAUGUUUUUCAUGAAUUACGAUGAAAUGAUUUUAAAUAUGUAUUUUGAGAAAUCGUUGUUAUAAUUAUUAAAUCGUUAACUGCGUUAGGUGCACCUAGUUACCACGUGUUGAUUAGGGAGAGUUAACCGUUAGAUGGAGCCGCCCUUACGAGAGAGGUCGUCCGUAGGAGGAGAGGGCUAUCAACGAGAUGUAAGCUCCCUAAUUGAUACGUGCUGAUGCGUUGCGGAAUUGAGGGGAGAGGGCCAUCCGUUAGAUGGAGCCGCCCCUAAGGGAAAGGCCACCCUUAGGAGGAGAGGGCUAUCAAUGAGAUAAAGCCGCCUCUUGGUUCUAAAAAUUUGUAUUGUUAUUUGUUUGAUUUUUUUAUAAUGAUUUUAAGGUUGUUCAUUUUGAUUUCGUUUCGUUAUUCACUGAAUUUUUAAUAUUUUUGUCAAGCGAUUAAACAGUUAUUCGUGCCUUUUGUGUUUCCCUUCUAAUUGAUGGUGGUUGUUGUCUCCUCACUAAGUCUUUGUGACUUACCCCUUUAUGUUGCUUAUUUUUUCAGAUUCGCAGGCAGUUGAGUAGAAAUCUGUUAUUUGAUUCAAGUCUCCACAUAUUUCUUUUGGUAGGCCUCUUUGAUUGAGGACCAUUUUUGUAACGUCUGUUGAGUCUAUGUAAUUUGCAGCUAUUUUGGAGUCUAGCAAUUUUUUGGAAAUUGUAUUAAACGAUUAGAUUAUGUUCUUUGAAUUGAGACUGAAUUGAGAAUUUAACAGGGAUUUUAUAAAUUUGGGA